CUGCUUAGCGCCUUAUCCCAGCUGCUCCUCACACCCUCGCCUUCUUCCAGAUAGAUCUUCCUCCUCUGCACAGAUCCUCCCGGCUUCUCAUCUGUUCUGAAAGUCAGCACGAUUCCACGAUCCUCAAAUCACAUUGCACACCAAGGACCCCGAUGCUCACCUAUUGCCUGGAACAUUCACCUUGCCCCACCACCCUCUUGUUCCUGCCUAUCCAGCGUGGAUUUCCUUACAGCACUGGCCUAGAACAAAAUCAACCUGCAACUUUCAGUAAUUCCAUUUCUUCUGACUCAAUGAAAACAUGGAUGGGGCUCUGUCUUCCCCCAGGACAGGCCCCUCCUGCACUUGGAUGGCUUUGCACACUUCCCAAUGUCCUGUCACGUUGAGUUUGCUUCAACUUCUAUUUGUUCAAUGAAAUCAGUUUAACAUUUUCGGAAAACAUUCCUACAUUCCACACCCGGUGCUGAGGGUAGGAUCUCUGCUGAAAGCCACACCGGCUCAGGUCACCUGCUGAAAGCCACACCUGCUCAAGUCACCUGCUGAAAGCCACACCUGCUCAGGUCACCUGCUGAAAGUCACACCUGCUCAGGCCCACCUGCUGAAAGCCACACCUGCUCAGGUCACCUGCUGAAAGCCACACCUGCUCAGGUCACCUGCUGAAAGUCACACCUGCUCAGGCCCACCUGCUGAAAGCCACACCUGCUCAGGCCACCUGCUGAAAGCCACACCUGCUCAGGUCACCUGCUGAAAGCCACACCUGCUCAGGUCACCUGCUGAAAGCCACACCUGCUCAGGUCACCUGCUGAAAGUCACACCUGCUCAGGUCACCUGCUGAAAGCCACACCUGCUCAGGUCACCUGCUGAAAGCCACACCUGCUCAGGUCACCUGCUGAAAGUCACACCUGCUCAGGCCCACCUGCUGAAAGCCACACCUGCUCAGGCCCACCUGCACCCUGUGCUGCAGGAAGACAGAGGGGGCGUCUACUUUCAUCCGGCCUUCCACAUGCCAUGCAGUGCAUCUCACCCAUAGGUUCUUAAUGCCAUCCACAAUCUGCUGACAAGGAAAUCUGGAAAGUCUCCCCAGGUUUACGUCUGUGUGAUCCAAGGGGAAGUGCUAGUCCUACCAGAGAACUGAGCCCCAGCUCCCUAAGCCCCUGUGUCUUUCCACUCCCUAUCCCACGUUGUUCAGAAGCGUGUUUGUUAGUUGGGGAAUGGGUGUCCUGGGAGGCACAGUGCUGUUUUAAUGCUGAGGGGACUGCCCCCUCUUUCAUUAGCAAAUGUUUAAGCAACAUUGUAAACAUUUUUCAUGCAAUAACCCAUUAAUGCUCACAUAAGCCCGAUUAUGUAAUGAAUUAGUGACAAAGAUUUUCUAUUACAAACAGGAAGUGGGGGCUCCAGAGGUGAAGGCCCUGCCUGAGAGCACAGGACUGCUAAGUCUGGGCAGAUGGAAGCAGGGUCAGCCCGCGGGACCCUUGCAUCUAACCACUGCACAAAGCCCUGCCCUCCAAGAGUGGUGACUUGGGGAGACACCUGAGUGUGGUGGACCCCAGGGGAGAUCCAGAGGAGAGUGGGAAACGCCAUGUCUGCCAACCAUGAGGAACCAUCCAGUGACUACAGGCAGCUCCCCAGGACAGAGACGUGCGCACAGGAGCCGCCAGGCACCGUGAACUCUGCUUUCGUGAGUGCUUGACAUCUGGCCACAGGAGAACCCCAGUGGCAUAGAAGGCUUUAUUCUCACAUGGAUAUGUCACUCCCUUCUGAUGGCUCCUGUGAUCCAAAAACCCACGACUGACCAGCCCCAGUCUCCAAGGAACAGGCACGUUUUUCCUAAAGAUGGAUGUGCAUACAUUAAGCUGAAACAUGUGUACCAAUGUGGAAACUAAGAAGAUGCAUUUAAAAAAUGUUUCUACACAGAGUUAUUUUUGGUCAAUUAUUAACUGAUAACAUGGUUGGAUUAAACAAAGUGAAAUGAAAAGAUUAAAUGUCUAUUUACUUGAA